UGAUAGGCCGGAGGUGUAAGUGCAGUAAUGUAUUGAGCUGACCGGUACUAAUAGGUCGAGGGCUUGACCUAUAU
rnacentral:rRNA from 1 species